UCCCAGAGAGCUAGCUUGUCUUCCACCAUGGGAGGCCACAGAAAAAAAGGUGGCUGUUAAUGAACCAGAAGGGGGUUCUCUCCUGACACAGAAUAUUCUGGACCUUGAUCUUGGACUGCAUAGACUCCAGAUUGUAAGAAAUAAAUUUCUGCUGUUUUAUAAGCCACCCAGUGUAUGGUAUUCUGCUGUAAUCUGAAUAGGACUCAUGAGGAGCCAAACAGUGGAGAAGAGGAUGAACUGAGGCCGAUGAAAGCAGGAACAGUAGGAGUCUGUGCCUGAUCACAGGUGAAAGGAGAGAAGGAGAGCUUUAUAAAGAAGCUCUGCAGAGACUUCUGGCCGAGCCACCAAUCCACAAGUCCAAAGAGGUUAUACACAAAUAAUAGGGCAUAAAUAAUACACUCAAAAACAGAGGAUUUUAUUUUGGACUGUUCCAGAUUAUAGUUCAAGAUCUACUACUUAGUUGUUACAGUGUCAUCCUCUUUAUCAAAUUAAGCAAUGUAUAUGUGUAAAAUCGUAAACCAAAAGCAGAAAAAAAAAAUUAGAAGAAAACACUUCAAAAUGUUGAAUUUUAGGUUACAUUUCUGUUCUACAUGUAUAAUCUUUUUGGCACCAAACCUCAUGGCAUAUGCUCGUGAAUAACUAUCAUAAAGCAACUAUUGGCUUUUCAUAGCCCCUCUUCUCUGGGUGAAGACAUGCAAAUUUUGGUUGUUCCCCAGAUAAUCUGUAUGUACACUUAAGUUGCAACCUAAAAGAGUGGAUAUAUUUCCAAUGAAUUAAUGGAAGAACAAAACAAAAACGAAUGCUUUGGCUUGGUGAAGGAAGGUCGUCCUCUUCGAAAGAGCACGCAGCUUCGGGAGAGACGCAGGAAGGGGACACCCGCCUAG